rnacentral:rRNA from 1 species
UACGUAGGGGGCAAGCGUUAUCCGGAAUCACUGGGCGUAAAGGGUGCGUAGGUGGCUUAUCAAGCCAGGGGUGAAAGGCAUUGGCUCAACCAAUGUAAGCCUUUGGAACUGAUAGGCUUGAGUGCAGGAGAGGUAAGUGGAAUUCCUAGUGUAGAGGUGAAAUUCGUAGAUAUUAGGAGGAACACCAGUGGCGAAGGCGACUUACUGGACUGUAACUGACACUGAGGCACGAAAGCGUGGGUAGCGAACAGG